rnacentral:rRNA from 1 species
AACCAAGAAAUUUAGUCAUUCUUUUAUGGUAAAAAGACAGUUAAGCAGGUAUAAAAGUCAUUGGACCUUUAAUAUAGGAGUAAAAUCUAGAUACUAAAAGUUAUAUCAGACAUGGCUUAAUUUAGAUGCUGAAGCUGUGAUAGCUUUAAGGGAAACUGGGAUUGGAUACCCCAUUAUUUUUAGUUGUAAAUUUAGUUUAAGCUUACCAGAGUACUACGAAUAAAAAGUUUAAAACUCAAAGAGCUUGGCGGUGUUUUAGACCUCUCAGGGGAACCUGUCUCAUAAUCGACAAUCCGCGUUAAACCUAACCUUUGAUAGCAAUUCAGCCUGUAUACCGUCGUCGUCAGGUAACUUCUUAAAAUAUAGUAGUUAGCUUGAGAAUUUUAUUAAUUAAAACGUCAGAUCAAGGUGCAGCUAAUGAAAGGGUGAGGAUGGGUUACAAUUACACAUUUGUAAAUACGGAAAACAUUUGAAAUAAUGUCUUAAAGGAGGACUUGAAAGUAAUUUUGAUUAUAUAAAUAGAAUGAAUAGGGCUCUGAAACGUGC